GGGGUUGUGGCUCAGUGGUAGAGCGCUUGCCUGGCACCUAUGAGGCCCUGGGUUUGAUCCUCAGCACCA
rfam:Ictidomys tridecemlineatus contig024913, whole genome shotgun sequence.